UCAGGUGGCCACCAUUCAACUUUUCAUG
rnacentral:misc_RNA from 1 species